rnacentral:rRNA from 1 species
CGAAGUAAUGGUUAAGAGGGACUGACGGGGGCAUCCGUAUCGCUGCGUGAGAGGUGAAAUUCUUGGACCGCAGCGGGACGUCCAACUGCGAAAGCAUUUGCCAAGAAUGUCUUCAUUAAUCAAGAACGAAAGUCAGAGGAUCGAAGGCGAUUAGAUACCGCCCUAGUUCUGACCGUAAACGAUACCAACUAGCGAUCAGGUGCUGAUAGUUUAGUCGCGCCUGGGAGCUUCCCGGAAACGAAAGUCUUCGGGUUCCGGGGGUAGUAUGGUUGCAAAGCUGAAACUUAAAGGAAUUGACGGAAGGGCACCACCAGGAGUGGAGCCUGCGGCUUAAUUUGACUCAACACGGGAAAACUCACCCGGCCCGGACACUGUAAUGAUUGACAGAUUGAUAGUUCUUUCUUGAUUCGGUGGUUGGUGGCGCAUGGCCGUUCUUAGUUGGUGGAGUGAUUUGUCUGGUUUAUUCCGAUAACGAACGAGACUCUAACCUGCUAACUAGUUUCCCGGUAGCUUCGCCGGCUGAAACUUCUUAGAGGGAUACGUGGUGUUCAGCCACACGAAAUUGAGCAAUAACAGGUCAGUGAUGCC